rnacentral:rRNA from 1 species
UACAGAGGUCUCAAGCGUUGUUCGGAUUCAUUGGGCGUAAAGGGUGCGUAGGCGGCGCGGUAAGUCGGGUGUGAAAUCUCGGGGCUUAACUCCGAAACUGCAUUCGAUACUGCCGUGCUUGAGGACUGGAGAGGAGACUGGAAUUUACGGUGUAGCGGUGAAAUGCGUAGAUAUCGUAAGGAAGACCAGUGGCGAAGGCGGGUCUCUGGACAGUUCUGACACUGAGGCACGAAGGCCAGGGGAGCAAACGGG